AAGUUGAAAGAAUCAUUUUAGCUAAAAGUGCUUCUGCAUAUAAUAAUAUAUGUAGCAUUGCUAUACUACAAUGAACUAGAUCUAAACAAGGUUAAAAUUAAAGAAAUAUGCAAUGAAGUAUCUAUAAAGUUCCACUUGAUCUCUUAUAAGUAUAAAAAAUUUUAUGCUUGCAGAAUUAUUAGAUCUGUUAAAUUCCUUGUCGUUAAAUAUAAUUUAAUUUUCUUGAAAAUUUUAUGACUUGCUUCCAAUGGUGAAUGGAUAUUAAAUACAUACUUACCCAU
rnacentral:misc_RNA from 1 species